UAUGGUAGACCAUCAACCCCAAGCUUGAUGCCUCCACAGGUCUUAAGGUUGCCAAGAUUGGAAGUCCCUAUAGUAGACCAUCAACUGCAAGCUCAAUGCCUCUACAAGUCUUAAAGUUGCCAAGGUUGGAGACCCCUAUAAUAGACCAUCAACUACAAGCUCAAUGUCUCCAUAGGUCUUAAGUUGCCAAGGUUGGAGACCCCUAUAGUAGACCAUCAACUGCAAGCCCAAUGUCUCCAUAGGUCUUAAGUUGCCAAGGUUGGAGACCCCUAUAGUAGACCAUCAACUGCAAGCCCAAUGUCUCCAUAGGUCUUAAAGUUGCCAAGGUUGGAGACCCCUAUAGUAGACCAUCAACUGCAAGCCCAAUGUCUCCAUAGGUCUUAAAGUUGCCAAGGUUGGAGACCCCUAUAGUAGACCAUCAACUGCAAGCCCAAUGUCUCCAUAGGUCUUAAAGUUGCCAAGGUUGGAGACCCCUAUAGUAGACCAUCAACUGCAAGCCCAAUGUCUCCAUAGGUCUUAAAGUUGCCAAGGUUGGACACUCCUAUAGUAGACCAUCAACCUCAAGAUCAAUGUCUCCAUAGGUCUUAAAGUUCCCAAGGUUGGAGACCCCUAUGGUAGACCAUCAACCGCAAGCUUGAUGCCUCCACAGGUUAGACACCCCUAUGGCGCUUGUUCAAAAGGCGACUGGAACUUUAUGGUUUUUCUUUGAAGAUGUUUUCGCUUCUCCUCCAAGAAGCUUCCUCAGUUCUGAGAAGGUUGAGAACUCCCUGCAUUGAUCCCGCUCCAUCUUUCCAUCCAAGCUUUGGCCGCGUAUACCUUGUUCAUAAUAGCACAUGAGACAUGAAAGCAAAGCGCUUAGAUUUAGCCUCUUCGGGCGGCUGGAUCUCUCUUUGAAUAGUGAUGCAUACAGAAAUAGAAAUUUCUAAUCAGGCUGGAAUUCAUUAUUCCUGUCAUUUCCCUUCUGUCAUUUCCCUGCUGGGCCUGUAAACUAAACAGAGCCAGAGAGGGCUUUAGUAUCCUCUAUUUUCACAGGAACAGCUGAACGGGCCAUUUUUGCCACGGGGAGGGCAGAUUACGGAUACCCCCCUCCUUCCAAUUCCCUGCAGCUCUUUUCAAGUGGCUAUAAUUCCUAAUUUGCUUGCCAGUUUCCUCCAUACACACACACACAUAUACACCGACACACACACACACACACCUUCUCCCCGUGAGUUUGCCUCCGUCUUCUUAUCUGGUGGAGCCCCUCGCUCACCGCUAAAAACCGCCAGGUAAGAGUCUCAUUAUACCGGCAGCUGCAUAGCGAAAAUUGAUUUUAUGCGUCUCAAACUGUAUCGUUCAGAUUCAGAGUUCUCAAAUGUGUUUUUAACAA